rnacentral:rRNA from 1 species
UACGUAGGGGGCGAGCGUUGUCCGGAAUCAUUGGGCGUAAAGAGCGUGUAGGCGGCUUGGCAAGUCUGACGUGAAAGCCCACGGCUCAACCGCGGAUUGUCGUUGGAAACUGCCUCGCUAGAGUCCGGAAGGGGAGAGCGGAAUUCCUGGUGUAGCGGUGGAAUGCGCAGAUAUCAGGAAGAACACCCGUGGCGAAGGCGGCUCUCUGGGACGGUACUGACGCUGAGACGCGAAAGCGUGGGGAGCGAACAGG